rnacentral:lncRNA from 7 species
AUGGAGUUUUUCUCACCGUAAACUUUCUUACCCCAUGCUAUUCUUGCCCUAACCUAACCAUCUCUUAUAUCCUACCUAAUAAGUAGCUGGAUACCUAUGCUCUCCUAAUCACCCACUAUUGACAAAAAUAUAUAUGAGACCCUGGAUUUUUGAACCAAUUAUAGAUUAAAAACUGAAUUACAAAUCAAUCCGUCUGUAUCCCUUUUCUUACAAAUCUUGAGGACGAGAUUAUUUUUAAGGGGGGUAGGAUUUGUAAAGCCCAAAAACUUGGUAGAAAAAAAUAUAUCAUGAAAUAAUAAAAGAAAGAGAUAAUAUAUAUAUAUACACAUAUAUCUAAUCCUGAGAUCUAAAUAAGAGUAUUUUCUCGUAAAAGUAAUUAUAUACUAAAAGAUAUUUCUUCAUAAAAUAGAAUAAGUAAUAAAUAAUGAAGCUUUGGAAUGAACCUCUAAUGGACUAAACAUUCGAAAUACUUUCGUAAAAUGAAUAUUUUGUGUUGCAUAUUGAAAAUAUUGCCUAAAUAAAUAAGGUAAUAAACAAAUGAAUAAACUUAAUACAUGAACCUUGCAUUUAUGUUGAAAUAUAUUUUUGGUGUGCAAAUUAGAACUUUGUUUGAAUUUAAAAUCUAAUUG